rnacentral:lncRNA from 1 species
UUAAUUUGUUGGCAAGACUUCAACAGAUGAAUACCUACAUUUAUGUUAACUAAUUUAUAUUUUUGUGGUUUGCUUGCAUAUAUGUUUUUAUGUGAUUUUUCUUAACAUUUCGUUGAUUUCUGAAAUUUUAAAUUGUAUUGUAUAUUGUAUAUAUAUUAACAUCGGUUUUAGAAUGUUAAAACCAAUGAAUAUUCUUCGUAUUGUGAAAAAUCCUAUUUUCAGUAUACGGAUAUGGAUAGUAAACUGCACAUUGAGGUUUUAAAUAUUUACUAAACAUUUCGGUUAUUUUGAAAAUUCUACCCUGAGAAUAGACAAACCUAACAUUUUUAUUUCAACAGAUAAACACAAUGAUAUUUUUUAAGAAACAGUAUGAAAAUCUACUCCUCAUUAAUUUGUUCUUAAUGUGUACAACAAUUCUUUUAAAAUAAAUAGUUUUUGGCAAAGUUUUAAGAUUUCAAGAAAUAAACUGGAUUUUUGCGGUAUACUUUAUCAAGUUUAAAAAAAAGUCAAUAAUGACUUUUUCAUUUUAAUUGGUACACACAAUCGUCAUACGUAAUAAAACCUAAUGCCAUUUUAAAAAACUCGUUUUCAAGUGUUAACAUGAAAAAGUUGUAGUCGCACAUAUUCAAUACAAAUUCGUUUAGUUUUUCAAGAACUUCAACAGAUAAGCACGUACUACAUUUGUGUUGUGUUCAUGUCUUUUUUUUAAAUUUAUAUGGUUGUGCAUGGUUUGAAUAUAUGUUUGUUUGUGAUUAUUCUCAUCAUUACUUUGAUUUCUAAAAUGUAUGACCC